rnacentral:rRNA from 1 species
GAUGAACGCUGGCGGCGUGCUUAACACAUGCAAGUCGAACGGAAAGGCCCAAGCUUGCUUGGGUUCUCGAGUGGCGAACGGGUGAGUAACACGUGGGUGAUCUGCCCUGCACUUCGGGAUAAGCCUGGGAAACUGGGUCUAAUACCGGAUAGGACGAUGGUUUGGAUGCCAUUGUGGAAAGUUUUUUCGGUGUGGGAUGAGCUCGCGGCCUAUCAGCUUGUUGGUGGGGUAAUGGCCUACCAAGGCGUCGACGGGUAGCCGGCCUGAGAGGGUGUACGGCCACAUUGGGACUGAGAUACGGCCCAGACUCCUACGGGAGGCAGCAGUGGGGAAUAUUGCACAAUGGGCGCAAGCCUGAUGCAGCGACGCCGCGUGGGGGAUGACGGCCUUCGGGUUGUAAACUCCUUUCGCUAGGGACGAAGCGUUUUUGUGACGGUACCUGGAGAAGAAGCACCGGCUAACUACGUG